rnacentral:lncRNA from 1 species
GGCAGCUUCAGUUCUGUUCUCCAGUGUAAUCUCACUGAACUGAGGAGAAGGACAGCGAGGAGGAAGGGAGCUGGCUGCAGCACUUGCGUUCAUUUUCUGCCAGCACCGUCAAGCAGCGCAGCGCUGUGUCGUGAGGUGAGUGACCUGAUGUGAGAGUGCCUGGUUGCUCGUAGUGCGCGCAAGUACUCAAAGCAGCUGCCGCGAGCAGGAAGUGCAUGACGAGUGCCGAGAAACAGGAAGGUUUGGUCACCGAACUGGAAGGCAGCUACAGCAAUGCGCGAAGGCUUCCUCUUGUGCACCCGCAGCUUCUGACAGCGGGGCAGAAGGCUGACAAGGCGCCUUGGCAAAGCAGCCGAGGUUUGGAGGACAGAGCGAAGGAGGGACUGCCUCCUGGAAUAAGCUGGAGAUGUCCUGCAUCUGAGCCUAUUUCCAAGACCGUAUUGCGUACGCACAUCUUCUGACGGAGCAACGCUGACGUGGCGCUCAUCAGCUUCCUCCCUACUGUGAACAUUGCUGCUGUCAACAAGAGAAGUUUUUGUGUUGAAGGAAGAACGCACCCAAAGCCUCCCUGGGGUGGCCUGGCAGUUUUGCUUGGGCCUGGUGUCAUCUUGGACGCUUGCUUUGGAGUCAAGGUCUCGGCGUUUCAGCUGCCAGAGGACACAGGAAAAAAGGAGCAGCAAUAAAAUGGCUUUAAAAAGCUCUGUUCA